rfam:Microsporum canis CBS 113480 supercont1.17 mitochondrial scaffold, whole genome shotgun sequence.
AAGAAAUUAGCUCAGCGGUAGAGCUAUCGUUUUACACACGAAGGGUCAGGUGUUCAAAUCACCUAUUUCUUA